UACACACCGCCCGUCACGUCAUGAAAGCUGGCAACACCCGAAGCCGGUGCGCCAACCGCAAGGAGGCAGCCGUCGAAGGUGGGGGUCGGUGAUUGGGACG
rnacentral:rRNA from 1 species